CUGAAGAAAAAAUGGCGGCCAGCGCGAGGGUGCAGAAGCUCCUCCGACGAUAUAAACUAGCUAUCGCCGCUGCCUUAACCAUCCUCCUCAUCCAAAGUCUCGUCGUGUGGAGCCUGAAAAGUCUGGAAGAGGGCGAGGCGGAGAAAAAAGCAAGACGAUCUAAACUGCCCGACAACAACAGCCAGGACCAGAGGAGGGAUGCCACGGGUUUAGAAAGACACAUAGCGUUGUCUGGAAGUAACAAGGGCAAGCUGGAAAGAACCGGAGGCACGACAACCACCACACUUAGAAAAGGGGCCAGUCAAAAACAAGGAAAGCCUGGAGUCAGGCUGAAAAAUCCCCCCGAGCAGGGGCAAACCGGCACCGAAUUGGACGGUGUAGCACCCCACGACCCAUCCAGUAACCUGAGUGAGAUGCGAGGCGCCGCUGAUGUGGUGGCCAAGUUAACCGGCGCCUUGCCAGGGGAGCCAGGCAGCGUGGACGGGGCACGCCAAUCCCCCAACAGUGAUUUUGAGCCCAAAUGUGACAUCAUAAGUAAGGAUGCGUGGUCUGCUCUGCAUCGUGCUAGCUCACAGCAGUGUCGCCAGGAGAUCGCCAAUGUUGUGUGCAUGCAUCAGGCCGGGCAGCUCAUGCCGGAUGACCUUCCGCAAUUCUGCCCUCAGCCAGGCAUAUUGAGUGCUGCUCAGUCAGUUGGCGAGCUGGACAACAGCCUGGCCAACGUGGAGAACCCUGUCCGUGUGGUUUUCGUCCUGAUGGUCCACGGCCGCUCUGUACGGCAGCUCAAGCGUCUCAUUAAAGCCAUCUACCACUCUGAUCACUACUACUACAUCCAUGUAGACGAGCGGUCGGGCUACAUGCACCGGGAAGUCCUCCAAAUAGCCCAGCAGUACCCAAAUAUACGUGCCACGCCCUGGAGAAUGGUGACCAUCUGGGGUGGUGCCAGUCUGCUGAAGGCGUACCUGCGCAGCAUGCAGGACCUCCUGGCCCUGCUGGAUUGGAAGUGGGAUUUCUUCAUCAAUCUCAGUGGCACAGACUUCCCCACCAGGACUAAUGAUGAGCUGGUGGCCUUUUUAUCACAACACAGAGACAAGAACUUCCUCAAGUCCCAUGGCAGAGAGAACACCCGGUUUAUUAGAAAGCAGGGCCUCGAUCGUCUCUUUCACGAGUGUGACAACCACAUGUGGCGUUUGGGAGAGCGCAAAAUUCCCGAUGGCCUGGAAGUGUCGGGUGGCUCCGAUUGGUUUGCGCUCACCCGCCGCUUUGUGGAGUAUGUCAUCGAUUCCCAAGACGACCUGGUGUCGGGACUGAAGCAGUUCUAUUCCUAUACUCUGCUCCCUGCUGAGUCUUUCUUCCACACCGUGCUCGGAAACAGUCACAUGUGCGACAGCCUGGUGGACAACAACCUCCGUGUGACCAACUGGAAUCGUAAACUGGGCUGUAAAUGCCAGUACAAGCACAUUGUGGAUUGGUGUGGUUGCUCUCCCAAUGACUUCAAACCCCAAGACCUCAUUCGCAUCCAGCAAUUAUCCCGGCCCACGUUCUUUGCACGCAAAUUUGAGUCGUCAAUAAACCAGGAAGCCGUUGAAAUCCUGGACACGCACUUGUAUGGCCAGUACGCACCAGGAACUGUUGCCAUUAAGGCGUACUGGGAGAACCAGUUUGAGCAGAUGGAUGGCAUAGGCUCGCUGAGUGAUGUGAUGCUCACUGCUCACGCUUCCUUGUUUCGCCUGGGCUUGAACAGCCUUGCGACAACUCAGGGCAAAAAAGACGCCUGCAGGUUUGAACCUAUCGGCUACCCUUUGUCAGUGCACUUGUACUUCUACGAUGACCGCUUUCAAGGGUACUUGAUACGUCAGGAAGUUCAGGCAGUGGGAUCAAAGGUCAAGGAGGCAAUAGAGAUGUGGGCUGUGCCCCAGACGGCAUUGGUCCUUGAGAAGAGUCUUAAAGAGUUUGAAAGGCUCAAACACCUUGAGAUCGGUACAGAAUGGGAUCCAAAGGAAAGAGUAUUUCGUAAUUUCGGCGGGAUCAUCGGCCCUUUGGAUGAACCACUUGCGGUUCAGAAAUGGGUUCCCGGGCCCAACCUCACCGCCACCAUCGUGUGGAUUGACCCGGCCCAGGUGGUGGCAAUUUCGUAUGACAUCACAGUGGAUGCAGAUACAGAAUACACACAUUACAAGCCACCCCUGCAGCACCCCCUACGGCCUGGCAUUUGGACGGUGCGUGUAUUGAAACAGUGGCAGCGUGUGGCCCAACUUCAUUUCCUUAUCGUACCUUUGAGCUUCAAAGAUAAGAAGCCACUGCGCAAAGAUAAGGACAGUUGGCUGCAUGCAGGCCCACCUGGAAAUUUGUACCUGGAUCAGAGCUUCCAGCACUUGAAUUCCAUACUGAAGUUGCCGCCUCAAGAGCCUGCCAUGCUGGAAGCGCAACGAAACGCCCAGAUUGUGGGCCCGCCCCUUGACGUGUGGGUUGACUGGAGUGUGUCAAAUUUUUGGGUUACGGGAAACCUGUGCACAGUGCAGACUUCAUCUUGCACAGCUUUGGUGCCAUGCUCCAAAACUACCUGGAGCUCCCUGUCCCCGGAUCCCAAGUCUGAACUGGGCCCGGUGAAAAGUGACGGGAGAAUCAGGUAGCCCCAGUGGUGGGGAGGACAUAAAGGAAGUCUGUGCCGGAGGCUGCAAGCAGCCAUGACAGCUCCAGGAGAACUUUGUGUGUGGGAGGUUUGGCUCAAAGCUAAAGGCCACAAAAACAAUGACAUCUUGCACUGAAACGUCACAACGUUCUCGGUAGAAAUGACUUGGUGAAUGCUGGAAAUUUGCACAUUGACAUCUGCGAGCCAAGAAGCUUUUUCUUGGCUUGCAGGAUGAUAUGAAUGCCUGAUACAUUUUAUUUGUAUUAUUUUUAUGCUGACAGCAGAUGGGUGAGUGAAGCACCAAUCUUCACUAAAUAGUGAGUUUCUCCCUACUUGGGAUCAAGAUACAGUUUGAACUCAUCUAAGUCUCUUCACCGUGUUUUGUUCACAUCUGAAGAUGGAACAAAGCUCUUGUUAUGCUUAUUUUGAAGCAUUUUAUAUCGGACAUGGAACAAGUGCACUAUACUGUUAGGUAACGUUACGCAAAAUUCAGUUGAUUACAUUGCAAUGAGGAGGAGCUGAAAAAAGGUCAGUUGUUUAUCUGCUAUUGUGGGUCACAUAUGUUAACAGGCAUUCCUCUUUUUCUUUUUUUCUUUUUUUUGGCAAAGCAUUAGUUUUACACAUGUUGAAAAUGUUCACAAGGCUAAAAGCUUCAUGGUCCCAGAAAGUGUCUGGAAACCGCGAAUAGCUUCAUUCAAUGUCCACGUGCUCUUAAAAUUUGUGUUCAUGUCUUUUUUAGCCACUGCUUGCAGAGAGGAAAUUCAAAUUACAGUUUCAUGUAUGUUUGUGUAGAUGCCGUUUUUUUUUUUUUUUCCCCCCCUCAUGGGUCUGCGCUCCACUCAAGGGAGAAACACUUCAAGUGACCACAAAUGGGUAGCCAAGCAUGCAAAUCAGGAGUGAAAGAGGAAUUGAGUGUGGGGCCUGACACCUACAUUCAACAUCUCACCUAUAAUGAGGCCCGGAUACAUGAGGAGAAGGCCAAAGAAGGAGGUGCUAAUAAAUGUCAUCUAACGACGUGAGCAUCUGCCGCCAAUGAGCUCCGGGCGCAAUGAAACCAUAACCAUGGCGACCAUACUGAUCGUUUCCUGCAUCCUGCAAUGUUGUGUCAAAACACUUCAUUACACUUGCACAAUCCAAUAAGAAAGAGGUCCUGCAUGGGUUCGUUUGACAGUGAAUGCACUUUCUGCCAUGCACCCACUCACCAAGAGUUUGUUUUGCAAGAUAAAUCCCCCUCCCAACCUUCCCACAAGCUGCUGCCUUCAUCUGAGUGAUGAGAAGGGCACAGGCAUCACGGUGAGCUGUUUGUACUCAAGUUGUGACAUAACGAGGCCUUCUGGUUUUUUUCUCCCAAUUCACUGUGCAAUGCUAGUGGAAGAAGCUUCUUCUCGCUGGCAUUCAACAUCCUGUGGGGGCUUUUCUUGAUAAGGAUAAUUAUGCUCCUGUCAUGAUUGUAAGUGGUGUGACGGUGAAGCAGUCUGUUUGCUUCUGGGUGUUGGCUCCAUUGGUGUUUUAAACAAGGAUAAUAUUACGCUUUGUGAUGUGGGGGAGGAGGAGCAGACGUAAGUGUAUGAUGUGGCACUUGGCUUUAUGUCGCUGCGUUUUAUAGAGCGGCAUGGUGGAGUCUGGGAGAAUGUAAAGAGAUUGCCUUUGCCAUUUUGAUUAGAUUGAAGGUGCUCCAUGUGCAUCAGCAUGCAUUCAAGGGCAUGAUUGGACCUAUAAAACUGUCUUUGGAAUAUUUGUUUAUUGUAUUGGCGUGUUUGCAUGAGAGGAUGAAUUAUGUAAAUAAUGGAUGCCAACCAAACACUGCUCGGUAAACACACACAAUCUAAUAGGAUCCAAAUGGAGACCUGCAAUGAACAUGCAGUCCCGUAUAAAGAUAAAACUUUCCACAAGUGU